AUUGAACGCUGGCGGCAGGCCUAACACAUGCAAGUCGAGCGGAGGAAGGGAGCUUGCUCCUGGAUUCAGCGGCGGACGGGUGAGUAAUGCCUAGGAAUCUGCCUGGUAGUGGGGGAUAACGUCCGGAAACGAGCGCUAAUACCGCAUACGUCCUGAGGGGGAAAGUGGGGGAUCUUCGGAACUCACGCUAUCAGAUGAGCCUAGGUCGGAUUAGCUAGUUGGUGGGGUAAAGGCCUACCAAGGCGACGAUCCGUAACUGGUCUGAGAGGAUGAUCAGUCACACUGGAACUGAGACACGGUCCAGACUCCUACGGGAGGCAGCAGUGGGGAAUAUUGGACAAAGGGCGAAAGCCUGAUCCAGCCAUGCCGCGUGUGUGAAGAAGGUCUUCGGAUUGUAAAGCACUUUAAGUUGGGAGGAAGGGCAGUAAGUUAAUACCUUGCUGUUUUGACGUUACCAACAGAAUAAGCACCGGCUAACUUCGUG
rnacentral:rRNA from 1 species